UUAAAAUUUUCUUCUGAAUGAAUAAAGACUCGAUGAACAAUAAAGCCAAGUUUUAAGUAUUUUUUUAAGCUGGAAAUCUUUCCAUUUCCAUAAUUUAUAACACCAGAAUAUUAUUUUAAAUUUUGAACUUUCUUCUUCAAACUUUAUUUAAAACACCUCAACUCGAUCAAGUUUUCGUCAUUUUUAUAAUUUGAUUUAUGAGUUUGCUCGAUACCGGGAUAAUUGACAAUUUAUUUUAAUUAUUUGUUUCUAGUAGUGUUCUUUCUUUUGAGUUUCAAGAAUAAUAUUUGAGCCUCAAUCAAAAUGACUGUUGGAAGAAAUAACCAGAUUUUACAACUGCUAAAUGCCAAGAUGCGAAUUAUAUUAUGUGAUAACCGAACAUUUGUUGGAACAUUCAGUGCUUAUGAUAAGCACAUGAACAUCGUGCUGACUGGUUGUGUUGAAUACAAGAAGUAUAAAGCAAAGAGGAGGGCACCAGUUGAAGGGAAAAAAACAAUUGGCACAGCUAUUAUACGUGGUGAAAAUAUUAUGUCUGUUAUAGUAGAAAGUCAACCAGAGCCUCCAUCACGUUCAGGAGAAAGCAGUAGCAGUCGUUACCGGUAAAAAGAUGUCAGACAAGUGAUUGCAGCUGCUUUUGCCCAUUUGGACCAGGAUUUCUUUCGAAAUUUGUAAAUUUUAUUUUCCAUUGUAUCAUAAAACUUUCAUUAAAAUAUGUUUUGAAUAAACAUUAUUCUCAUUAAAA